CAAGGGAGGGCACAUGUGUCCUCUUGUCUAAGGUUUACCCUUUGUCCAGUUCUUUGUUAAUGUGCAGAGGAAGGGAGCAGUGGGGACCAGCACUGAUUGUCUCUAAGAACAGCUGCGGUUAAGACACAGGGGCUGCUUUGGAAAAUGGAAAUAGAAUUGCUAUAUGCAUGUCAGCUUGAUCUUGGAACCCUGGUCACACAUUUCAUGCCCCCCAUCUCUGAAUUCUGAGGACAGUUAGCCUGAGCUCCAUCUAUCAGUGCUUGGAGGCUCUUUACAGAAACCUCCUUUCAAGGGAGGGGGCUGGCCUUCUUUUACCAGUAGAAAGCGAUUAUCUUCCAACAGCUGUUUAUAGUUAACUGCAGCCCAUACUUAAAGCCUGAAUGCUGGAGCCAUAUUUACUGCCUGUGGAUUUGCGGUGGAGCGGCUUGACCAGAACUCACGGAAAUACAGGGAGAAAUGGAAUUGACUUUAAAUAAGUUCAUUCAAGAUGAGAACAGAGCUGGCAGAAUUCAAGCAGUUUGGCUUGCAGGCUUCCACUCAAAUGAGCCAGUGAAACCCCAUGAGAAGUGGACUCAAAGUGUUGACCAGAAGUCGACCUCCGCUGAUGCUCAGUACAAAGAAGUCUUCAGAUACCUUCUAAGGACAUGGUCUCCCUUCAAGCUGGGUUUCUUCUUUAAAGUACUCCUUGUCAUUGCAGUGAAUUGACUCCUGGCUUAAUUCUUUGAUAUCUUUCUUCUUGGUGGUGAGGUCAAGCUUUUAAGUCUUGUGUACUGACUUCUGGUAAUUCCAAGAGACUAUGUUUAGUAAACUUUCAUUGAGUAAAUGACUAUCAAUCAAUCAGUAGUUACAGUACUAAAUCUAUCAAAUGUGACCUGACAUGCAUUCUCACUCAUAUGUCUAUGUCUAGAUUAAGUUACAGCAAACAAAAAUCCAGCCUAAGUGGAUCCCACCCACCCCUUCAAUUUCCCCCUUUUACUAUCACAGUAUCCAUAGUGAAAAAU